GGCAAAUGCUCGGCUAUGAAAAAAUGCCACACAGUUUAUGUGCAACUAAUACUUACAGAGUUCUCAUCUGGGACCUUUCCAAUUUCUGAUUAGGUUUUAUUUUUUAAUUUCUCAAUGAUAUUGUCUUAAAAGUUGAGCUGAAUGAUGAUAUGAAGAUAUCAAGUGAAGAGGAAUGCCAGAGCUUGUGUUGAGGCUAAAAUGCCAGAGCUGCAAACAUUUAUCCCAACGUCCAAUUAAGAGUCCUUUAGUGGUAGUUCGCCCUCAAAUAAUUAUAGAAGACGCACAGGAGAAGUUAUCGGUAUAGCUGUCGGAUGUGCACACAGACUCACCAAGAUUUGUAUUUUCAG